rnacentral:rRNA from 1 species
AGUGAACGCUGGCGGUAGGCCUAACACAUGCAAGUCGAACGGCAGCACAGUAAGAGCUUGCUAUUACGGGUGGCGAGUGGCGGACGGGUGAGGAAUACAUCGGAAUCUACUUUUUCGUGGGGGAUAACGUAGGGAAACUUACGCUAAUACCGCAUACGACCUACGGGUGAAAGCAGGGGAUCUUCGGACCUUGCGCGAUUGAAUGAGCCGAUGUCGGAUUAGCUAGUUGGGGGGGUAAAGGCCCACCAAGGCGACGAUCCGUAGCUGGUCUGAGAGGAGGACACGCCACACGGGAACUGAGACACGGCCCAGACGCCUACGGGAGGCAGCAGUGGGGAAUUUGGGAAAAUGGGCGCGAGCCUGAUCCAGCCAUGCCGCGUGGGGGAAGAAGGCCUUCGGGUUGUAAAGCCCUUUUGUUGGGAAAGAAAAUGUGCCCGUUAAUACCCCGCGCUUAUGACGGUACCAAAAGAAUAAGCACCGGCUAACUACGU